UUGGAGGUGGUGUAAAAGCAAGAAAUUUGAAAGGUGGGACUUCCUCAAAAGAUGAAUUGUUGGCUGAGCUACGUUCAGCUCAAAAAGAAAAUCAGUCUUUGAAGGAUUGCAUGUCUAACUUUCAAAAUGAGAUGAAAGAACUGAAUCAAUUGAAAGAAUUUUUUUUAGUGCAACGCCCUAAUUUCCAGCCUCCAAUUCACGAGAAUGACUAUUCGGAUACUUGAUGAUACCAUAGAAAAAGGGAUUUUUGACUAUUUAAGGAUUUUCAAGUGAGGAUAAGAAACUCAUUUCGAAGAUAUUUUGGAUGCUGAAAUUUGCAAAAAGUCGAUGUUAAACAUGUAGAUUGACCAUUUUUUGCUGGGAAGGUGAAUGCAACUUUGGAUUAUAGUUUAAGGAUCGUAUAUGAUUUUUUUGCUAAGGAUUCAUGAUCACAAUAUUGUUACUAGCUUACUUAACUGUUGUAUAGUGCGAUGACUUCUAAGGUGAGUAUAAUUAUACUCACCAUAUUUUGUAAUUACAUUAUAUAUGAAAGCGACAACUUUA